GUCGGUGUUUAUUACAAUGAGGGUCCACCUGUUCCCAUUCCGAACACAGUAGUUAAGCUCAUUUGUGCCGAAGAUACUUGGUGGGUGACUGCCCGGGAAAAUAGGUAAUGCCGACA
rnacentral:rRNA from 1 species